rnacentral:rRNA from 1 species
UUUAUUAGAUAAAAAGCCAGUUCAUGCUUUUAUAGUAUGAAAAUUGGUGAUUUAUAAUAACUUAGCAAAUCGCAAAGUGAAAACAGGCGAUAAAUCAUUCAAGUUUCUGACCUAUCAGCUUUCGACGGUAUGGUAUUGGCUUACCGUGGCAGUGACGGUUAACGGGGGAUUAGGGUUCGAUUCCGGAGAGGGAGCCUGAGAAACGGCUACCACAUCUAAGGAAGGCAGCAGGCGCGCAAAUUACCCAAUUCUAACAGUUUGAGAGAGGUAGUAACAAGAAAUAACAAUACAAGGCAGUUAAAAUGCUUUGUAAUUGGAAUGAUAGAAAUUUAAACCCUUUUUAAAGUAUCAAUUGGAGGGCAAGUCUGGUGCCAGCAGCCGCGGUAAUUCCAGCUCCAAUAGCGUAUAUUAAAAUUGUUGCAGUUAAAAAGCUCGUAGUUGAAGUUCUGCUGAAAGUAACCGGUCUGCUUUUAAUAAAAGUGGUAUCUUGGUAUGUAUUUAGCAAUGAUGUCCUUUGAAGUGUUUUUUACUUUAUUGUAAUAAAGCAUAUUCAGGACUUUUACUUUGAGAAAAUUAGAGUGUUUCUAGCAGGCUAACGCUUUGAAUACUGCAGCAUGGAAUAAUAAGA